rnacentral:rRNA from 1 species
ACAGAGACUACGAACGUUACUCGGAUUCACUGGGCGUAAAGGGUGCGCAGGCGGUUAGGUGUGUUAGAUGUGAAAUACCGGAGCUUAACUCCGGGGCUGCGUCUAAAACUACCUAGCUAGAGUUUUGGAGGGGUAAGCGGAAUUCCAGGAGUAGCAGUGAAAUGCGUAGAUAUCUGGAGGAACACCAAUGGCGAAGGCAGCUUACUGGACAAAAACUGACGCUCAUGCACGAAAGCGUGGGGAGCAAAAAG